UUAAGUUUCUUUGUUUAGAUAAAACAAAGUGGUGCGGAUGGGUUACUCCCGCUCAGUUUCUUGCUUCUGAUUAAAAAGCAAGUGGCGUGCAUGACA
rnacentral:ncRNA from 1 species